UCCUGGCUAGGACGAACGCUGGCGGCGUGCCUAAUACAUGCAAGUCGAACGGUCUUUCUAUGGAAGCUUGCUCCACUGAGAAGAUAGUGGCGAACGGGUGAGUAACACGUGGGGUAACCUGCCCAUAAGAGGGGGGAUAACAUCCGGAAACGGGUGCUAAUACCGCAUAGUUUUCUUGAUCGCAUGAUCGGGAAAGGAAAGACGGCCUUUGUGCUGUCGCUUAUGGAUGGACCCGCGGCGUAUUAGUUAGUUGGUGAGGUAACGGCUCACCAAGACGAUGAUACGUAGCCGACCUGAGAGGGUGAUCGGCCACAUUGGGACUGAGACACGGCCCAAACUCCUACGGGAGGCAGCAGUAGGGAAUCUUCCGCAAUGGACGAAAGUCUGACGGAGCAACGCCGCGUGAGUGAAGAAAGGUUUUCGGAUCGUAAAACUCUGUUGUCAGAGAAGAACAAGUUGGAGAGUAACUGCUCCAGCCUUGACGGUAUCUGACCAGAAAGCCACGGCUAACUACGUGCCAGCCGCGGC
rnacentral:rRNA from 1 species